rnacentral:rRNA from 1 species
CCUACGGGUGGCUGCAGUGAGGACUAUUGGUCAAUGGCCGUAAGGCUGAACCAGCCAAGUCGCGUGAGGGAAGACGGCCCUACGGGUUGUAAACCUCUUUUGUCGGGGAGCAAAGCGAACCACGUGUGGUUCAUUGAGAAUACCCGAAUAAAAAGCAUCGGCUAACUCCGUGCCAGUAGCCGCGGUAAUACGGGGGAUGCGAGCGUUAUCCGGAUUUAUUGGGUUUAAAGGGUGCGCAGGCGGAGGUGCAAGUCAGCGGUCAAAUUGCGGGGCUCAACCCCGUACUGCCGUUGAAACUGCAUCCCUUGAGUGCGCGAGAAGUAUGCGGAAUGCGUGGUGUAGCGGUGAAAUGCAUAGAUAUCACGCAGAACUCCGAUUGCGAAGGCAGCAUACCGGCGCGCAACUGACGCUCAUGCACGAAAGCGUGGGUAUCGAACAGGAUUAGAUACCCGAGUAGUC